GAUCCUGGCUCAGGAUGAACGCUGGCGGCGUGCUUAACACAUGCAAGUCGAACGGACUUUACAUGAAGCCUAGCGAUUGUAAAGUUAGUGGCGGACGGGUGAGUAACGCGUAUCCAACCUGCCCACCACUUGGGGAUAACCUUGCGAAAGUAAGACUAAUACCCAAUGACAUCCCACGAAGACAUCUGAAUGGGAUUAAAGAUUUAUCGGUGAUGGAUGGGGAUGCGUCUGAUUAGCUUGUUGG
rnacentral:rRNA from 1 species